rnacentral:rRNA from 2 species
UUACUAUGAUAGCGUGUCGGAUUAUUGGGCGUAAGCGCGCGCAGGUGGUUCCUUAAGUCUGAUGUGAAAGCCCACGGCUCAACCGUGGAGGGUCAUUGGAAACUGGGGAACUUGAGUGCAGAAGAGGAAAGUGGAAUUCCAAGUGUAGCGGUGAAAUGCGUAGAGAUUUGGAGGAACACCAGUGGCGAAGGCGACUUUCUGGUCUGUAACUGACACUGAGGCGCGAAAGCGUGGGGAGCAAACAGGAUUAGAUACCCUGGUAGUCCACGCCGUAAACGAUGAGUGCUAAGUGUUAGAGGGUUUCCGCCCUUUAGUGCUGCAGCUAACGCAUUAAGCACUCCGCCUGGGGAGUACGGCCGCAAGGCUGAAACUCAAAGGAAUUGACGGGGGCCCGCACAAGCGGUGGAGCAUGUGGUUUAAUUCGAAGCAACGCGAAGAACCUUACCAGGUCUUGACAUCCUCUGACAACCCUAGAGAUAGGGCUUUCCCCUUCGGGGGACAGAGUGACAGGUGGUGCAUGGUUGUCGUCAGCUCGUGUCGUGAGAUGUUGGGUUAAGUCCCGCAACGAGCGCAACCCUUGAUCUUAGUUGCCAGCAUUCAGUUGGGCACUCUAAGGUGACUGCCGGUGACAAACCGGAGGAAGGUGGGGAUGACGUCAAAUCAUCAUGCCCCUUAUGACCUGGGCUACACACGUGCUACAAUGGAUGGUACAAAGGGCUGCACACCUGCGAAGGUAAGCGAAUCCCAUAAAGCCAUUCUCAGUUCGGAUUGCAGGCUGCAACUCGCCUGCAUGAGCCGGAAUCGCUAGUAAUCGCGGAUCAGCAUGCCGCGUGAAUACGUUCCCGGGCCCUUGUACACACCGCCCGUCACACCACGAGAGUUUGUAGCACCCGAAGUCGUGACGUAACCUUCAUGGAGCCAGUCAGCCUAUGUGGGACAGAUGAUUGGGGUGAGUCGUACCAAAGUAAACACA